rnacentral:lncRNA from 10 species
ACUACAAUUUUGACCUCGUUGGGUGAAGCGAUCCUCCCACCUCAGCCUCCCAAGCAGGCAGCACUACAGUUCCAUGCCACCAUCCCUGGCUAAUUUUCUAUUUUUUAAUUUAAAUUUUUUUUGAGACAAAGUCUCACUCUAUCACCAGGCUGGAGUGAAUUGUGUGGUAUCAGCUCACUGCAACCUCUGCCUUCCUGGUUCAAGCAAUUCUGCUGCCUUAGCCUCCUAAGUAGCUGGAACUACAUGUGCGUGCCACUACACCCAGCUAAUUUUUCUGUGUGUAUUUAGUACUGAUGGGGUUUCACCAUGUUGGCCAGGAUGGUCUUGGUCUCUUGACCUCAUGAUCCAUCCACCUCAGCCUCCCAAAGUGCUGAGAUUAUAGGGGUGCAUCAUCUCACCCAGCCUAUUUAUUUAUUUAUUUAUUUAUUUUUAAGACAGAGUCUCACUCUUGUUACCCAGGCUGGAGUGCAGUGGUGCAAUCUUCACUCACUGCAACCUCCACCUCUUGGGUUCAAUCAAUUCUUCUGCCUCAGCCUCCUUAGUAGCAGCUGGGAUUACAGGUUCCCACCACCAUGUCCAGCUAAUUUUUGUAUUUUUAGUAGAGAUGGGGUUUCACCAUGUUGGCCAGGAUGGUCUCAAUCUCUUGACCUCGUCAUCUGCCCCACCUUGGCCUUCCAAAGUGCUAGGAUUACAGGCAUGAACCACCGCACUGGCCUAUUUUAUUUUUUCUGGAGAUGAGGUCUCACUGUGUUGCCCAGGCUGGUCUUGAAAUUCUGGGCUCAAGCGAUCUUGCAACCUUGGCCUCCCAAAGCCUGGGAUUACAGACAUGAGCCACUGCACCUAAUCAUAUGUUUUUAGGUGGAUGUUUUUCAGAAGUUUCUGGUUGUGUAAAAAAUGAGUUUUCUUGCUUUCAGUGGCUCUUUUACUAUAUCUGUUCACUUUUUACUGUUUAUCAUUAUAUGUUCUUGCUGGUUUCUAUGCUUUAACUUAGAUAAAAUAUUCUUAUGAGUUAUUUUUCUUAUGUCAAAAUUAGCUUGUUUUAAUUUCUGUAUAAUAACUGCUGGAUUUACCUUUAAAAUUACUGUUCUUGAGGCGGUUGGAUCAGAUGAGGUCAGUAGUUCAAGAUCAGUCUGGCCAACAUGGAGAAACCCCCUCUGCUAAAAACACAAAAAAUUAGCCUGACAUUGUGGCAUAUGCCUGUAAUCCCAGCUACUCAGGAGGCAGAGUCAGGAGAACCACUUGAACUCUGGAGGCAGAGAUUGCAGUGAGCCAAGAUCCUGCCUUCACCCUCCAACCUGAGUGACAGAGUGAGACUCUGUCUCAAAAACAAACAAACGAACAAACAAAAUUACUGUUCCCUCUUUUUCACUUUUCACCACUUUUAUUGUUGCCUUCCUUAGAAAGCCUAAUGAUUUUUCAUUCAGCACAUAAGUCUCAUAACAAACACUUAACUUUCUACAUCAUAUGGUUGUAGCAAAGUGUUGAGAAAAAGUGAGAGGUAAAGCCAGCUGGACUUCCUAGGUCAAGUGGGGACUUGGAGAACUUUUCUGUAGCUAGCUAGAGGUUUGUAAAAUGCACCAAUCGGUGCUCUGUAAAAAUGCACCAAUUGGUGCUCUGUAGCUAGCUAGAGGUUUGUAAAAUGCACCAAUCAGUGCUCUGUAAAAACGCACCACUCAGCACUCUGUAGCUAGCUACAGGUUUAUAAAAUGGACCAAUCAGCACUCUGUAAAAGGGGCCAAUCAGCAAAAUAUGGGCAGGGGCAAAUAAGAGAAUAAAAGCUGGCUACUCCAGCCAGCAGCAACAACCCACUUGGGUUCCCUUUCACACUGUGGAAGCUUUGUUCUUUUGCUCUUCACAAUGAAUCUUGCUGCUCCUCAUUCUUUGGGUCUGCAUCAACUUUAAGAGCUGUAACACUCACCGUGAGGGUCUGCAGCUUCAUUCUUGAAGUCAGCAAGACCACAAAUCCACCGGAAGGAACAAACUCUGGUCACAUCUUGGCAACUAAGAAGGGACUAUCACCAAGCGCCUACUCUCUGGAGUCCCAAGAUCAUCCAGACCAUCCUCGAUAUACCUGUGAGCCAUUGGAGGACUUGCAUCUCCUAUUUCAGAAGGACACAUCCCAGACUAAAAAGGCUCCUACAACUGAUCCUGAGGAAAAACCCCUUCCUACUUAAAAAAACAAAUGAAAAAAGAUAAGUGAAAACCUACAUAAUCUUUAACAUCUCUGCUUGCCCCUUCAAUGGAAUCCUUUUACUGUUUCACCACAUUAUUAAGCAAUAUACUAAUCAUACUCUUUGCAGUAGGACUAUACACUGUGGCUCCUGUCAGGAUGAAAAUCAUAAUCACAUCAACCUUUAUUCUAGCAUCCUUCUUUCUGACAGCAAUUUACUCCUACCUUUAACUCAGACUGGAUAAAAUGAACUCAUCUUCCAGGGCACCCUCUUUACCUUCCUACUUACUCUUUGCCUAUCUAUUGCUCCUGCUUCCUUGGAUACCCCAUAUAGUCACCCCUCUGCUUUCACUAGCUCCUAAUUACCUCUACAAGACUCUCAACUUAACCCAUUCUCUGUUAAGCUAGUCCAAUCCUUCCCUGGCAAAUGACUGUUGGCUUUAUACCUCUCUAUCAGCCACUGCUUACGUUGUCACUCUCGUUCUCGCAAAAAACUGGGUCUUUACUAACUUAACCUACCACCCCUGUUAUGACCGAAAAGACCCUUUCCAGCUUCCAAAUACACAAUCAUUAGCCAAUUUCCCCAUCUCUGAUAGGACCAAGAAAACGCUAACAGGACGUGCAGUUCAACUUCUUUGCUCUUACAUUUCCAACCUCACCUAUUACACGAGCAAUGAAAAGCUCAGUCACAGUCCUGUAACCAUGAAUGCUGUCUUAACUUUCCAAGACCCUUUAUGCAUCCAACACAACCUGUUAUCAGGCCUGCCCCUGGGGCACCUAAUAUCCCAUCAGUGUAAUUACACCCUAUAACUUCAAGCCCCAACUGAUCAUAGUAACUUCUGAGUCACCCAAACAGCUCCAUUCAGAUAGGUUGUCUGCUUCUCAGGGCCUCCAAAAAUCAUUACUUCCUCCCUACUUAACAAACUUUUUGGGUUUUAUCAUGGCAAACAUAUUCCCUGCAUGACCAUUCACCCCUGGACCCCCUGCAGGAGCGCCUCCACCACUCCAUCCCCUCUUUCAAUUACUCCCUUGAAUGGUUCCUAGUAGACACAAAAUAGUUUUUUCUCCAACUGGAAAAUAGAACCCAAGGAGCCACUCAAUUUGCUCCCAACACCCCUUCCCAGCCACUCACCAGAGCUACCUUGGCAAGGACUCUAGGAGUAUGGGAAAAUGAAAACAACAAACUCACAUACGUUUUUAAUAUACACAACCAGUUCUGUCUACCCAACAAAGGCAUAUUCUUCUUAUGUGGAACUUCAACUUAUAUCUUCCUUCAAACCAACUGGACAGGCACCUACACCUUAGUCUUCCUAAGUCCCAACAUUGACAACAGGAAAUCAGACCCUAUCAAAGCUCAAGUCUGUCAGUGCAGGGCCAUACAACUAAUAUCCCUACUUACAGGGUUAGGAGUGACCACUGCUACAGGAACCCGAAUAGCAGGUUUUUCCACUUCACUAUCCUACUACCACACACUUUCAAAGGAUUUCUCAGACAGUUUGCAAGAAAUAACAAUCUAUCCUUACUCUACAAUCCCAAAUAGACUCUUCGGCAACAGUGACUCUCUAAAACCACUGAGGCCUAGAGCUCCUCACUGCUGAGAGAGGAGGACUCUGCACCUUCAUAGGGGAAGAGUGUUGUUUUUACACUAACCAGUCAGGGAUAGUAAGAGACACGUCCCAGCAUUCACAGGAAAGGCUUCUGAAAUAAGACAAUGCCUUUCAAACUCUUAUACCAACCUCUGGAGUUGUGUGACAUGGCUUCUCCUCUUUCUAGGUCCCGUGACAGUCAUCUUGCUAUUACUCGCCUUCUGGCCCAGUAUUUUUAAGCUUGUCAAAUUUGUUUCCUCCAGGAUUGAGACCAUCUGGCUACAGAUGGUCUUACAAAUGGAACCCCAAAUGAGCUCAACUCACAACUUCUACCAAAGAACCCUGGACCAACCCACUGGCCCUUUGACUGGCCUAGAGCUUUCUCCUCUGGAGGUCACUACAACUGCAGGGCCCCUUCUUCAGCUCUAUCCAGCAGGAAGUAGCUAGAGUGGUCAUCGCUCAAUUCCCAACAGCAGUUGGGGUGUCCUGUCUAGAGGGGACAUUGAGAGGUGAAGCCAGCUGGACUCCCUGGGUCGAAUGGGGACUUGGAGAACUUUUCUGUCUUACAAGAGGAUUGUAAAAUGCACCAAUCAGUGCUCUGUAGCUAGCAAGAAGAUUGUAAAAUGCACCAAUCAGUGCUCUGUAAAAAUGCACCAAUCAGUGCUCUGUAGCUAGCAAGAGGAUUGUAAAAUGCACCAAUCAGCACUCUGUAAAAUGCACCAAUCAGCAGGAGUCUAAAUGUAGCCAGUCAUGGGAUGGAUUGAAAAAAGUGCACUCUGAUAGGACAGAAACAGAACAUGGGGGGGGACAAAUAAGGGAAUUAAAGCUGGCCACCCCAGCCAGCAGCAGCAAUCUGCUCAGGUUCCCUUCCACACUGUGGAAGAUUUGUUCUUUUGCUCUUCACAGUAAAUCUUGCUGCUGCUCACUCUUUGGGUCUGUGCUACCUUUAAGAGCUAUAACACUCACCAUGAAGGUCUGUGGCUUCAUUCUUGAAGUCAGUGAGACCACAAACCCACCAGCAGGAACAAACUCUGGACACACUAGCACACAAUAGCACCAAACAAACAGAAAAAACAAUUGCUAGUUAGGAUAUGGAGAAAUCAGAAUGCUUCUUCAUUGCUUGCCAGAAGGUAAAAUGAUACAGCCCUAUAGGAAACAUUUUGAGAGCUCCUCAAAAUGUUAAGCAUAGACAUACUAUACUGUUGGCCAGGCACAGUGGCUCACGUCUGCAAUCCCUGGACUUGGGGAGGCCAAGGCAGGUGGAUCACCUGAGGUCAGGAGUUCAAGACCAGCCUAGCCAACAUGGUGAAAUCUUGUCUCUACUAAAAGUACCAAAAAGUUAGUUGGGCAUAGAGGUGGGUGCCUAUAAUCCUAGCUACUUGGGAGGCUGAGGAAGGAGAAUCACUUGAACCCAGGAAGCGGCGGUUGCAGUGAGCUGUGAUUGCACUACUGUACUCCAGCCUGGGUGACAGAGUGAGACUCUGUCUCAAAAAAAAUAUGGUUUACAAUUUUUCUCUUAGGCAUAUACACAAAAGAGCUGAAAGCAAGGACUUACAGUGUACGCACGCACAGUAAUGUUUAUAGCAGCAUUAUUCACAGUAACAAAAAAGGUGGAAGAGACUGAAAUAUCUUGUUAGGUGAAACUUAGCCCCCUGUUCCUGCAAAGGGAAGAAAUGGAUCCUGCAAAGGGAUCCAUUUCGUUUAGAUGUUAUGUAACGGGAGCUAGAAAUAAUGUAGCACUGUUACAAUUUAGCAAAACAAUUCCAGGAUGUGGUUUUACUCAGAAUGUAUGCCAUUCCAGCCUCCACAGUCAACCCCCAUAAAACCCACCCUAGCAUGUGAGCUUGGGGCUGCCUCCUCUGUUUACUGUGGAGCAGCCCAGAAGGUUAUUAAAACUUGCUUGCCUGACUUUGGGUCUACUCAUUCUUUCUCUCGGUUAACCUUAAAUUUUGGUGCUGAAACCCGGGAAGGGGUAGGCUCUGGCUGGGAAUCCUAAAAGGGCUCUUUCCUUUACCGUCUCUUGCACCCUUUCUCUCCUCCUGGGCUGGUCCAUUGCAGCAUGCUAUAGCCUCAGUGCCUUUCCUCUUCUCCUGGCCACCCUCCCCUUCCUGAACCAGCUGAAUACCUGAAGGAUUUCUCGGACCCCCCCAUUGCUGGUGACUUCAUUCAUUAUUAGAGUCUACACGGGUGUGAGUAAGAGAGACUCUUGCCAUUUACCCUGGACACUUGCCAUCUGUGUCUUCCUGAAAGACCCAGCAGUGGGCCAAGGGCUCCCUCUGGCCUCUAGGCCUCCAGCUCUCCCAUUUCAGGGACACCUAACUCAGUGGUUGCCUUCCUUAUACUGAACAAGUCCCACGGGACUGGGGGCAUCCUCUCCCACUGUCCUUGCCACCAGCAGCCUCUUCUUCCUCUAUGCCCUCCUCUAUUUGCUAUAGGAGCCUCUUAGUCUACUCCAUCUAAAACUACCCCCCGGGGUGCCUCCUGUACAACUUUAACAUGCUUGGCCUCUGUUCAGAGGUUUGUCCCAAGAGGUUUAUUUUCUCCUCUAAUACGGCUUGGCCACAAUAUAAAUUAGAUAAUGGCUCUCAAUGAUCUGAAAAUGGUACUUUCAAUUUCAAUAUACUCAGGGACCUAGACAAUUUUUGCCAUCGCAAUGGGAAAUGGUCUAAGAUUCGUUAUGUUCAGGCCUUCUUCACUGUCUGUAGCCGCCCUUCCCUUUGCCAGUCCUGCUCUACUUUUCAAAUCCUUCUUGCCUGCUCCAAAUAUGAUUUAUCCGCAGUCACUCACUUUACUGCCCCAGCCAAUGAUUCCUCAUCCUUUGAUCCUGCCGAUUUCCCUCCUCCCCAGCAACCUCAUGUCCCUCCACUAAAACAUCAUGACCCCCCUCCAUAUGCCCCUAUCUCUUUCCCCUCCUCUUUCCAGCCACCCUGCCUCUGACUCUAAAACAUCUCCAUCUCCAAACCUCACCUGCUCCCAAGCCUAAUAUAUCCCUCCUCCAGCCCCCUUGCUACCCCUUCAAGAGGUGGAAGAAGCCAAAGGGAUCAUCCAUGUUCAUGUUCCCUUCUCUCUCUCUAAUCUCUCCCACAUAAAAAAGUCUCUUGUCUUUCUCCUCCAAUCCCAAUACUUAUAUCAAAGAAUUUAAAUAUCUCUCCCAGUCUUAUGAACCUACUUAGCACAAUCUCUAUAUUAUCCUCUCUUCUACCCUUCUUCUGGAAGUGAAAGAGUGUGGCUUGCCACCCAGGCACAUGCCAAUGACAUCCACUGGCAAGAUCCUACUAAGCCCAUAGGAGCCACUGCAGUUCCCCAGAAAGUGCCUUCCUAAGAGUAGCAACCCACAGAACCCAGCUGGGUGUCCCGUACUCAUCUGACUACUUGCCUCAUUGCAGGCCUUAACAAAGCUGCCCAUAAGGCUGUAAAUUAAAAAACAAAAACAAAACAAAAAAAAAUCUCCAAAAACUUUCCCCAAAAGCAGAUAAAAACCCUGCUGAAUUCCUUUCCCACCUUACAGAGGCUCUCCAAAAAUAUACCCGCAUUGAUCCUGCCUUUUGGGAAAAAACUAUUGUUCUUAAUACCCAUUUUAUCUCCCAAUUGCCCCCAACAUCUGGCGCAAACUUAAAAAAGUUGAAGAUGGCCUCUCAAACCCCAGAACAAGACCUCCUUAACCUGGCAUUUAAAGUCUUCAAUAACAGGGAUGAGCAAAAUAAAUUAGAUAAAGCCUAAAGAGAUAGUGCUACAUACCACCUUCUAGUAGCUGUUAUCCACCAACCCAUCCAUACCACCCAAGGGCACAAAAGACCUGAUAGCAUUAACCCUCCUGGGCCUUGUUUUAAGUGCAGUAAAAAAGGCCACUGGGUGCGGGCAUGUCCUAACCCGAGGGUGCCAAAAGGCCCUUGCCCAGUCCGCCAGGAGACAGGCUACUGGAAGUCUGACUGUCCUCCCUACAGAAAGAAAAAAAGCCGGCACCCCAAGAUACCCUGCCUUCGGCAAGAAAAAUGACAAUGAAUUGCUUGCACUCCCACAGCUCCUUGGCCUAGCUGCUGAUGGUUGAUGAGGCCCAGGGCCUUCAGCCCCAUCUGCUAUCACUGCAUUGGAGCCCAGGGUAACUCUACUAGUAGCAGGUAAGCCAAUCUUUUUUUUAAAUCAAUACCGAGGCCACCUACCUGGCUUUGCCUGAAUUUUCGGGACCAACUCAUCCCUCUCAGGUCUCAGUUGUGGGAGUUAAUGGACUCCUCUCAUGUACACGUGCCACUAGACUUCUUGCUUUUUCCUUAUUUAAUAUUGUUUUUUCUCACUCUUUCCUUAUCAUGCCUCAUUGUCCUACCCCCAUUCUAGACUGAGACCUUUUAGCCAAAUUCAAGGCUUCUAUCUCAUUUUCCUGGCUCCCUCAACCAGAGUCCCUCCUGCUCCUCUCCAUUAGUCCGGCCCCUGACCCCUCUCCCCAGCACCCACUUUCCACCUCUCUCAUUAUCCCAGUAGUGUAGCACACUGCCCUAGCUGCUUACCAUGACCCCAUUAAAAUCCACUUAAAUGACCCUUCUAACUUUCUCAAUGUCCCUCAAUAUCCUAUCUCACUGAUUCAUCAGAGGGGCCUACAACCCAUCAUAAGCAAACUCCUCUUGUGCAGCCUCCUCAAACCAACCCAUUUUCCAUGUAAUACUCUCAUACUCCCUGUCAAAAAGACAGAUGGCUGUUAUCAACUAGUCCAAGACCUCCAAUCUAUUAAUCAGGCAGUCCUAACCAUCCAUCCAGUAGUUCCUAAUCUCUACACACUUCUUUCCCUUGUUGCUCCCAACACAACCCACUACAUUACAAUUGAUCUAAAAAAUGCCUUCUUUACCAUUCCCCUUCACCUUGACUCCCAAGAUCUCUUUGCCUUCACCUGGCCUGACCCUAAAACCCUCGUCACAACAACUUACUUAGACAGUCCUUCCUCAAGGCUUUAGAGACAAUCCUCCUUUCUUUAGAUAAGCUGUAGCUCAAAACCUCACCUCCCUAAACCUCUCCCCUAGUCAGCUCCUUCACUAUGUAAAUGACCUCCUUCUCUGUAGUCCUUCCCCAAAGAAAACUCAGAAUCACACUAUCUCAUUCUACUAAGUUUUCUUGCUAAUAAAGGAUAUAAGGUUUCUCCUUCCAAAGCACAACUCUCCUCCCCAACAGUAACAUAUUUAGGAAUCCAACUUUCACCCAGGGCCCAAGCCAUGACCCCAGCGUGGGCAGCCUUAAUAGAUAGCCUGCCUCUAUCCGCCUCUAAAAAUAAAAUCCUUUCCUUUUGGGGGUUAGCAGGCUUCUUCAAAAUAUAAAUUCCCAACUUUGCCCUGUUAGCCCACCCCUUUAUCAAGCAGCCAAAGGCCCUUUAAAUGAGCCUCCAAAUCCUUCCCACAACAUAAUCCCUAGCUUCCACAAACAUAAAGCUACUCUUGUAACCACCCCUACUCUAUCUCUGCCAAACAUUUCUCAGGUGUGAUGAGGUCUAGCCUCUGGGGUUCUGUAGGGUUACUGCAGCCAGGGAAUCUAAAUGGUUUUGUAAAUGAGUGAUGGAAUUAGCAAUUCCAUCAGCCCUUCAUUAUCUAUUACAGCCAAACGCCAAGAAAUAGCCCUCAGUGUUCUUGGCCAACAAAAGGGAAAUCUUCCUUCCUUUGCUCCUGUAGCCUAUCUUUCUAAACAACUAGAGUGUACCACCAAAAGAUGGCCAACUUGCCUCAGAGCCCUAGCGGCAGCCACCACCCUGGCAUUAAAAAGCAAAACAACGUAACAUUUGGUCAACACACCACCAUCCACAGCCCACAUAACCUACAAGACAUACUCUCUUGCAAAGUGCUCAGUGUCCUUUCUCCAUCCUAUAUCCAACUACUCCAUGCUCUGUUUCUUAAAAACCCUGAGUUCUACCUUUCCAAAAGCACUCCCCUCAACCCUGCAUCUACUCCCAGUAUCUUCCUCGCCUCCCACCAACUCCUGUACCAAUAUCCUUAAUCACCUGCAACUUCAUUUCCCUAAUAUCUCUCCUAUUAACGACUCCUCUUCCAAGUCCAUUGCCAAAGCUGAACCAAGCCCCUCCAAAUAAGGAACUUACACACUCCAACACCUAUUCUCAAUCCACUCAUCUGUUUAUAUUAACAUCUCAGGCGUCUUCUUCUUCUUUGGAUCUACAACCUACUUUUGUCUCCCUACCAAUUGGACAGGUACUUGCACCCUAAUUUACCCCCACCAUUAACAUUGUUCCCCCAGACCAAGACCUCCCUGUCCCUGCCAUGCUUCAUGCCGGCCCCAAAAAAGCAAUACAGUCCAUUCCCUUAUUAGCUGCACUUGGAGCUACAGCUACGGUCAGGUUAAGAGCAGGAAUCCUAGGAACAUCAUUGUCAUACUUUCGGACACUUUCUUAAGAUCUCCAAUCCACUCUAGAAAAAAAUUGCUAAUUCCAUCACUCAUUUACAAAACUAUUUAGAUUCCCUGGCUGCAGUAACCCUAUAGAACCCCAGAGGCUAGAUCUCCUCACACCUGAAAAAAGAGGUAUGUCUCUUUCUCGAUGAACAGUGUUGUUUCUACCUCAGUAAGUCUGGGGUAGUUCAAAAUGCUGUCAAAAAACUCAAAGACCAAGCUCAAAAACUCCAAAAUAACCAUUCUAACUGGCUUCAAUGGCUACAAUACUCCUGGGCACCCUGGCUAUUGCCUCUUCUUGGCCCCACAAUAGGGCUGUUUCUCCUGCUAGCUUUCGGACCCUGUCUUUUAUGCCUCCUAAUCCAGCUCUUGCAGGACUGGAUCAAAGCCUUCAUACACAGCACCUUACAGGACAUAAUGCUCCUCCAAAAAUGAUAGAAACUGUAUAAGUAGCCAUACCCAACCUUCAUCCCCAUUCAGUAAGAGGUAGCCUGAUGACCACAAAGCUCCUUUUUCCUAAAAUUAAUAAAAGGAAUGUUAGGUGAAACUUAGCCACCUGUUUCUGCAAGGAUCCCCACUCCCGAUUUCCUUUAGGUGUUAUGUAACCUGAGCUACAAAUAAUGCAGCACUGUUAGAAUUUAGCAAAACAACUCCAGGAUGUGGUUUUACUCAGAAUGUAUGCCAUGCCAGCCCCCACAGUCAAACCCCAUAAAGCCCCCCCUAGUGUGUCAACUCAGGGCUGCCUCCUCUGUUUACUGUGGAGCAGACCGGCAGGUUAAUAAAACUUGCUUGCCUGACUUUGGGUCCGUUCAUUCUUUCUCCCGGCUAACCUUUCAUAUCUAUCAACAAAUAAAAGUAAUACAUGGCUUAUGCACACAAUGGAAUAGUCUUAUAAGAAAAUUAUGACACAUGCUACAAAAUGAAUGAGUGUCAAAGUCAAUACAUUAAAUGAAACAAGCCAGUCACCAAAUAAAAAAUAUUGUGUGAUUCCACUCAUGUAAGUAAUCAAAUUCACACAGACAGGAAGUGGAAUAUUUGUUGCCAGAUAGGGGCAUAAGAAGGGAUAGGAAAGCAUUGCCUAAUUGGUUUAAAUUUCUAGUUUGGAAAGGUGAAAAUGUUCUGGAGACCGAUGGUGAUGAUGGUUGCCAAUGUGAAUGUACUUAAUGCCACUGAAUUUACACCUAAAGUAGUUAGAACUGUAAAUUUUAUGUUGUGUUGUGUUUUAUCACAAUCAAAAACUAGUUUCUAUGAAGGGGAUAAAAUCUGAGUGUAAAUUAUCAUCAAAAGAGAAACAAGAUAGAAAUAAAAGAGAUUUGUAUUAGGCAAGCCUGAGAAUGUAAUGAGGAAAGAAGAAAAAUCAGUUAUAGUAAUGAUGACAUUAAUUGAAACUUGAUUGUAAAUAAGGUGUGAUAAUUUUUUAAUUGUCAUCUUAAUAUAAAUAGCCUAUUUUAG